rnacentral:sRNA from 1 species
CUUUUCUAUACCACAGUUCUGGUGCUCUGCUAUGUUAUUUAUUUCACAAAGUUACUGGGUUCCCCAGAAUCAACCAAGCUUCAAACUCUUCCUGUCUCCAGAAUAACAGAUCUGUUACCCAAUAUUACAAGAAAUGGAGCGUUUAUAAACUGGAAAGAGGCUAAACUGACUUGGAGUUUUUUCAAACAGUCUUUCUUGAAACAGAUUUUGACAGAAGGCGAGCGAUAUGUGAUGACAUUUUUGAAUGUAUUGAACUUUGGUGAUCAGGGUGUGUAUGAUAUAGUGAAUAAUCUUGGCUCCCUUGUGGCCAGAUUAAUUUUCCAGCCAAUAGAGGAAAGUUUUUAUAUAUUUUUUGCUAAGGUGCUGGAGAGGGGAAAGGAUGCCACACUUCAGAAGCAGGAGGACGUUGCUGUGGCUGCUGCAGUCUUGGAGUCCCUGCUCAAGCUGGCCCUGCUGGCCGGCCUGACCAUCACUGUUUUUGGCUUUGCCUAUUCUCAGCUGGCUCUGGAUAUCUACGGAGGGACCAUGCUUAGCUCAGGAUCCGGUACGCACAAGAGUUUUUCUGGAUUUUUUCUGAUUUCCCAACAUAAAUAGAAGAGUCACGAAAUUCAAGAACUUGUGCACACACAGUUGUUAUCUGUGUCAGUGUAGGGAAAACUGUCUGGUGGCGGGGGCUGUGGGACUGUUCCCCUCGUUCAACUCCAGACACACACUCAAGAUAUAGGCAGGGGCGUUGGCGCCAGGACAAUCAGCUUCCCCAGCCUCACUUGGAGAAGUUAUUAGGACUUCUCCUUGCUGUUGGCUUUCCUCUCGGGCCUAGAAUGUGUUUUGCCAAGUGCUUCCCUGUGCUCCAUCUGGGGUGAGGGAGGAAGGCAGAGGGCAGACGGUAAUGAGUCUCCACUUGGUACUAAACACAUCUGAAGA